rnacentral:rRNA from 1 species
GACGAACCGUCCUAACGUUGUUCGGAAUCACUGGGCUUAAAGGGCGCGUGGGCGGGUCUCCAAGUCGGUGGUGAAAUCUUUCAGCUCAACUGGAAAAGUGCCGCCGAUACUGGGGAUCUCGAGGGAGGUAGGGGUCGAUGGAACUAAUGGUGGAGCGGUGAAAUGCGUAGAUAUCAUUAGGAACGCCGGUGGCGAAAGCGAUCGACUGGACCUCUUCUGACGCUGAGGCGCGAAAGCCAGGGGAGCAAACGGG